AACUCGCCUGCACGAAGUCGGAAUUGCUAGUAAUCGUAGGUCAGCAUACUACGGUGAAUACGUUCCCGGGCCUUGUACACACCGCCCGUCAAACCAUGAGAGUUGCAACACCCGAAGUCGGUAGUCUAACCACAAGGAGGACGCCGCCGAAGGUGGGGUUGAUGAUUAGGGUUAAGUCGUAACAAGGUACC
rnacentral:rRNA from 1 species